rnacentral:rRNA from 1 species
CGGUAGCACAGAGAGCUUGCUCUCGGGUGACGAGUGGCGGACGGGUGAGUAAUGUCUGGGAAACUGCCUGAUGGAGGGGGAUAACUACUGGAAACGGUAGCUAAUACCGCAUAACGUCGCAAGACCAAAGAGGGGGACCUUCGGGCCUCUUGCCAUCAGAUGUGCCCAGAUGGGAUUAGCUAGUAGGUGGGGUAACGGCUCACCUAGGCGACGAUCCCUAGCUGGUCUGAGAGGAUGACCAGCCACACUGGAACUGAGACACGGUCCAGACUCCUACGGGAGGCAGCAGAAGGGCGAAUU